rnacentral:lncRNA from 1 species
GCCAGUAUAUUCUCCGCCACCACCAUCGCCGCCUCCACCGCCUCCGCCAGUCUACUCUCCCCCACCACCACCACCGCCUCCACCUCCUCCGCCGGUAUACUCUCCUCCGCCUCCGCCAGUAUACUCUUCUCCACCUCCUCCGCCUUCUCCAGCACCAACUCCAGUUUAUUGCACCCGUCCACCACCCCCACCACCUCACUCGCCGCCACCACCACAAUUUUCUCCUCCACCACCUGAACCUUACUACUACAGCUCACCACCACCACCGCAUUCUUCACCGCCGCCGCAUUCACCUCCACCACCACAUUCACCUCCCCCACCGAUUUAUCCAUAUCUGUCUCCACCGCCCCCACCAACACCAGUUUCUUCUCCACCACCCACUCCGGUCUAUUCCCCUCCUCCCCCACCUCCUUGUAUAGAACCACCACCACCUCCACCGUGUAUAGAGUAUUCACCUCCUCCUCCUCCACCAGUCGUUCAUUAUAGCUCUCCGCCUCCACCGCCAGUCUACUACAGCUCUCCGCCACCUCCACCAGUCUAUUACAGCUCUCCACCUCCGCCACCGCCGGUUCAUUACAGCUCUCCGCCACCACCAGAAGUCCAUUACCAUUCUCCGCCUCCAUCUCCAGUACACUACAGCUCUCCACCACCGCCACCAUCAGCUCCAUGUGAAGAAUCUCCUCCACCAGCACCGGUAGUUCACCACAGUCCACCACCGCCCAUGGUUCACCACAGCCCACCACCUCCAGUGAUCCACCAAAGCCCACCAC